GUAGGUGGCAAGCGUUGUCCGGAAUUAUUGGGCGUAAAGCGCGCGCAGGCGGUUCUUUAAGUCUGAUGUGAAAGCCCACGGCUCAACCGUGGAGGGUCAUUGGAAACUGGAGAACUUGAGUACAGAAGAGGAAAGCGGAAUUCCACGUGUAGCGGUGAAAUGCGCAGAGAUGUGGAGGAACACCAGUGGCGAAGGCGGCUUUCUGGUCUGUAACUGACGCUGAGGCGCGAAAGCGUGGGGGGAGCAAACAGGAUUAGAUACCCUGGUAGUCCACGCCGUAAACGAUGAGUGCAAGUGUUAGGGGGUUUCCCGCCCCUUAGUGCUGCAGCUAACGCAUUAAGCACUCCGCCUGGGAGUACGGCCGCAAGGCUG
rnacentral:rRNA from 1 species